AGACCGAUAGCGAACAAGUAGAGUGAUCGAAAGAUGAAAAGCACUUUGAAAAGAGGGUUAAAUAGUACGUGAAAUUGUUGAAAGGGAAGCGCUCAUGACCAGACUUGGGCCUGGCGAAUCAUCCGGCGUUCUCGCCGGUGCACUUCGCCAGGCUCAGGCCAGCAUCAGUUCGCCGCGGGGGAUAAAGGUUUCGGGAACGUGGCUCCUCCGGGAGUGUUAUAGCCCGUUGCGUAAUACCCUGCGGUGGACUGAGGUCCGCGCAUCUGCAAGGAUGCUGGCGUAAUGGUCAUCAGCGACCCGUCUUGAAACACGGACCAAG
rnacentral:rRNA from 1 species